UACGUAGGGGGCUAGCGUUGUCCGGAAUCAUUGGGCGUAAAGCGCGUGUAGGCGGUCCGGUAAGUCCGCUGUGAAAGUCGGGGGCUCAACCCUCGGAUGCCGGUGGAUACUGUCGGGCUUGAGUACGGAAGAGGCGAGUGGAAUUCCUGGUGUAGCGGUGGAAUGCGCAGAUAUCAGGAGGAACACCUAUAGCGAAGGCAGCUUGCUGGGACGAAACUGACGCUAAGGCGCGAAAGCGUGGGGAGCGAACAGG
rnacentral:rRNA from 1 species